rnacentral:rRNA from 1 species
UAUCUGAACCUUCGGGGAACGAUAACGGCGUCGAGCGGCGGACGGGUGAGUAAUGCCUAGGAAAUUGCCCUGAUGUGGGGGAUAACCAUUGGAAACGAUGGCUAAUACCGCAUGAUGCCUACGGGCCAAAGAGGGGGACCUUCGGGCCUCUCGCGUCAGGAUAUGCCUAGGUGGGAUUAGCUAGUUGGUGAGGUAAGGGCUCACCAAGGCGACGAUCCCUAGCUGGUCUGAGAGGAUGAUCAGCCACACUGGAACUGAGACACGGUCCAGACUCCUACGGGAGGCAGCAGUGGGGAAUAUUGCACAAUGGGCGCAAGCCUGAUGCAGCCAUGCCGCGUGUGUGAAGAAGGCCUUCGGGUUGUAAAGCACUUUCAGU